GAUUUGGUAGCUCACUGGGUAGAGCAACAGAUACUCAAUCUGUGGGUAGCGGGUUCGACUCCCGUCCAACGCA
rnacentral:tRNA from 1 species